rnacentral:rRNA from 1 species
UUUCUGUAGGUGAACCUGCGGAAGGAUCAU